GGGUUGUGAGGUUAAGCGACUAAGCGUACACGGUGGAUGCCCUGGCAGUCAGAGGCGAUGAAGGACGUGCUAAUCUGCGAAAAGCGCCGGCGAGGUGAUAUGAACCUUUGACCCGGCGAUGUCCGAAUGGGGAAACCCAGUGUGUUCCGACACACUAUCGUUAACUGAAUACAUAGGUUAACGAGGCGAACCGGGGGAACUGAAACAUCUAAGUACCCCGAGGAAAAGAAAUCAACCGAGAUUCCCCCAGUAGCGGCGAGCGAACGGGGAGCAGCCCAGAGUCUGAAUCAGCUUGUGUGUUAGUGGAAGCGUCUGGAAAGUCGCACGGUACAGGGUGACAGUCCCGUACACGAAAGCACACAGGUUGUGAACUCGAAGAGUAGGGCGGGACACGUGGUAUCCUGUCUGAAUAUGGGGGGACCAUCCUCCAAGGCUAAAUACUCCUGACUGACCGAUAGUGAACCAGUACCGUGAGGGAAAGGCGAAAAGAACCCCGGCGAGGGGAGUGAAAAAGAACCUGAAACCGUGUACGUACAAGCAGUGGGAGCACCUUCGUGGUGUGACUGCGUACCUUUUGUAUAAUGGGUCAGCGACUUAUAUUCUGUAGCAAGGUUAACCGUAUAGGGGAGCCGAAGGGAAACCGAGUCUUAACUGGGCGUUAAGUUGCAGGGUAUAGACCCGAAACCCGGUGAUCUAGCCAUGGGCAGGUUGAAGGUUGGGUAACACUAACUGGAGGACCGAACCGACUAAUGUUGAAAAAUUAGCGGAUGACUUGUGGCUGGGGGUGAAAGGCCAAUCAAACCGGGAGAUAGCUGGUUCUCCCCGAAAGCUAUUUAGGUAGCGCCUCGUGAACUCAUCUUCGGGGGUAGAGCACUGUUUCGGCUAGGGGGCCAUCCCGGCUUACCAACCCGAUGCAAACUACGAAUACCGAAGAAUGUUAUCACGGGAGACACACGGCGGGUGCUAACGUCCGUCGUGAAGAGGGAAACAACCCAGACCGCCAGCUAAGGUCCCAAAGUCAUGGUUAAGUGGGAAACGAUGUGGGAAGGCACAGACAGCCAGGAUGUUGGCUUAGAAGCAGCCAUCAUUUAAAGAAAGCGUAAUAGCUCACUGGUCGAGUCGGCCUGCGCGGAAGAUGUAACGGGGCUAAACCAUGCACCGAAGCUGCGGCAGCGACACUAUGUGUUGUUGGGUAGGGGAGCGUUCUGUAAGCCGUUGAAGGUGGCCUGUGAGGGUUGCUGGAGGUAUCAGAAGUGCGAAUGCUGACAUAAGUAACGAUAAAGCGGGUGAAAAGCCCGCUCGCCGGAAGACCAAGGGUUCCUGUCCAACGUUAAUCGGGGCAGGGUGAGUCGACCCCUAAGGCGAGGCCGAAAGGCGUAGUCGAUGGGAAACAGGUUAAUAUUCCUGUACUUGGUGUUACUGCGAAGGGGGGACGGAGAAGGCUAUGUUAGCCGGGCGACGGUUGUCCCGGUUUAAGCAUGUAGGCGGAACGAUUAGGUAAAUCCGGUCGUUUUUUAACGCUGAGGUGUGAUGACGAGGCACUACGGUGCUGAAGUAACAAAUGCCCUGCUUCCAGGAAAAGCCUCUAAGCAUCAGGUAACAUCAAAUCGUACCCCAAACCGACACAGGUGGUCAGGUAGAGAAUACCAAGGCGCUUGAGAGAACUCGGGUGAAGGAACUAGGCAAAAUGGUGCCGUAACUUCGGGAGAAGGCACGCUGAUAUGUAGGUGAAGCCCCUGCGGGUGGAGCUGAAAUCAGUCGAAGAUACCAGCUGGCUGCAACUGUUUAUUAAAAACACAGCACUGUGCAAACACGAAAGUGGACGUAUACGGUGUGACGCCUGCCCGGUGCCGGAAGGUUAAUUGAUGGGGUUAGCGGCAACGCGAAGCUCUUGAUCGAAGCCCCGGUAAACGGCGGCCGUAACUAUAACGGUCCUAAGGUAGCGAAAUUCCUUGUCGGGUAAGUUCCGACCUGCACGAAUGGCGUAAUGAUGGCCAGGCUGUCUCCACCCGAGACUCAGUGAAAUUGAACUCGCUGUGAAGAUGCAGUGUACCCGCGGCAAGACGGAAAGACCCCGUGAACCUUUACUAUAGCUUGACACUGAACACUGGUCCUUGAUGUGUAGGAUAGGUGGGAGGCUUUGAAGCGUGGACGCCAGUCUGCGUGGAGCCGUCCUUGAAAUACCACCCUUUAAUGGCUGGUGUUCUAACGUAGACCCGUAAUCCGGGUUGCGGACAGUGUCUGGUGGGUAGUUUGACUGGGGCGGUCUCCUCCCAAAGAGUAACGGAGGAGCACGAAGGUUAGCUAAUCCUGGUCGGACAUCAGGAGGUUAGUGCAAUGGCAUAAGCUAGCUUGACUGCGAGAGUGACGGCUCGAGCAGGUGCGAAAGCAGGUCAUAGUGAUCCGGUGGUUCUGAAUGGAAGGGCCAUCGCUCAACGGAUAAAAGGUACUCCGGGGAUAACAGGCUGAUACCGCCCAAGAGUUCAUAUCGACGGCGGUGUUUGGCACCUCGAUGUCGGCUCAUCACAUCCUGGGGCUGAAGUAGGUCCCAAGGGUAUGGCUGUUCGCCAUUUAAAGUGGUACGCGAGCUGGGUUUAGAACGUCGUGAGACAGUUCGGUCCCUAUCUGCCGUGGGCGCUGGAGAAUUGAGGGGGGCUGCUCCUAGUACGAGAGGACCGGAGUGGACGCAUCACUGGUGUUCGGGUUGUCAUGCCAAUGGCACUGCCCGGUAGCUAAAUGCGGAAAAGAUAAGUGCUGAAAGCAUCUAAGCACGAAACUUGCCCCGAGAUGAGUUCUCCCUGAGACUUUAAGUCUCCUGAAGGAACGUUGAAGACGACGACGUUGAUAGGUCGGGUGUGUAAGCGCAGCGAUGCGUUGAGCUAACCGAUACUAAUGAACCGUGAGGCUUAACCUUACAACGCCGAAG
rnacentral:rRNA from 1 species